rnacentral:tRNA from 1 species
AUUUUCAAAGGAUAACAGCAAUCCAAUGGUUUUAGGAGGCAUUAUUUCUUGGUGCAUUCCAGUGAAAAUA